rnacentral:rRNA from 1 species
UUCCUACGGGGGGCAGCAGUGAGGAAUAUUGGUCAAUGGUCGGGAGACUGAACCAGCCAAGCCGCGUGAGGGAGGAAGGUACAGAGUAUCGUAAACCUCUUUUGUCGGAGAACAAAACCCGGGACGUGUCCCGGACUGCGUGUAUCCGAAGAAAAAGCAUCGGCUAACUCCGUGCCAGCAGCCGCGGUAAUACGGAGGAUGCGAGCGUUAUCCGGAUUUAUUGGGUUUAAAGGGUGCGUAGGCGGUCCGUUAAGUCAGCGGUAAAAUUGCGGGGCUCAACCCCGUCGAGCCGUUGAAACUGGCAG